CCUGCGGAGGGAUCAUUAGCUGGAACGCGCCCCUGGCGCACCCAGAAACCCUUUGUGAACUUAUACCUUACUGUUGCCUCGGCGCAUGCCGGCCCCCCCGGGGGCCCCUCGGAGACGAGGAGCAGGCACGCCGGCGGCCAAGUUAACUCUUGUUUUUACACUGAAACUCUGAGAAAAAACACAAAUGAAUCAAAACUUUCAACAACGGAUCUCUUGGUUCUGGCAUCGAUGAAGAACGCAGCGAAAUGCGAUAAGUAAUGUGAAUUGCAGAAUUCAGUGAAUCAUCGAAUCUUUGAACGCACAUUGCGCCCUCUGGUAUUCCGGAGGGCAUGCCUGUUCGAGCGUCAUUUCAACCCUCAAGCAUUGCUUGGUGUUGGGGCACUGCUUUUUACCCAAAAGCAGGCCCUGAAAUCUAGUGGCGAGCUCGCCAGGACCCCGAGCGCAGUAGUUAAACCCUCGCUUUGGAAGGCCCUGGCGGUGCCCUGCCGUUAAACCCCCAACUUUUGAAAAUUUGACCUCGGAUCAGGUAGGAAUACCCGCUGAACUUAAGCAUAUCAA
rnacentral:rRNA from 1 species